UGCCCCAGUAGCGGCGAGCGAAGCGGCAACAGCUCAAAUUUGAAAUCUGGCCCCUCCGGGGUCCGAGUUGUAAUUUGCAGAGGAUGCUUCGGCGUCGGCCCCGGGAUAGGUCCCCUGGAACGGGGCGCCAUAGAGGGUGAGAGCCCCGUACUCGCCCGGUCCGCCUUCGCCGUGUGAAGCUCCUUCGAAGAGUCGAGUUGUUUGGGAAUGCAGCUCUAAGCGGGAGGUAUAUUUCUUCUAAAGCUAAAUACCGGCCAGAGACCGAUAGCGCACAAGUAGAGUGAUCGAAAGAUGAAAAGCACUUUGGAAAGAGAGUUAAAAAGCACGUGAAAUUGUUGAAAGGGAAGCUCUUGCCGCCAGACUUGCCCCGGUCGUUCAGCCGUCCUUAUGGGCGGUGCACUCGUCCGGCGGCAGGCCAGCGUCAGUUCGGGCGGUCGGACAAAGGCCGCGGGAAUGUAGCACCCCUAGGGGUGUGUUAUAGCCCGCGGCGCAAUGCGGCCAGCCCGGUCUGAGGNACGCGUUCGCGAGGACGUUGGCGUAAUGGCGGCAAGCGACCCGUCUUGAAACACGGACCAAGGAGUCUAACAUCUGUGCGAGUGUUUGGGUGUCAAACCCAUGCGCGCAAUUAAAGUGAACGGAGGUUGGAACCCCCCCGAGGGGCGCACAAUCGACCGAUCCUGAUGUCUUCGGAUGGAUUUGAGUAAGAGCAUAGCUGUUGGGACCCGAAAGAUGGUGAACUUUGCCUGGACAGGGCGAAGCCAGAGGAAACUCUGGUGGAGGCUCGCAGCGGUUCUGACGUGCAAAUCGAUCGUCAAAUCUUGGCAAAGGGGCGAAAGACUAAUCGAACCAUCUAGUAGCUGGUUCCCGCCGAAGUUUCCCUCAGGAUAGCAGUGACGUCGACAGUUUUAUGAGGUAAAGCGAAUGAUUAGAGGCCUUGGGGUUGAAACAACCUUAACCUAUUCUCAAACUUUAAAUAUGUAAGAAGCCCUUGUUGCUUAGCUGAACGUGGGCAGUCGAAUGGACCGUCACUAGUGGGCCAUUUUUGGUAAGCAGAACUGGCGAUGCGGGAUGAACCGAAAGCGAGAUUAAGGUGCCGGAAUGCACGCUUAUCAGACACCACAAAAGGUGUUGGUUGAUCCUGACAGCAGGACGGUGGCCAUGGAAGUCGGAACCCGCCAAGGAGUGUGUAACAACUCACCUGCCGAAUCAACUAGCCCUGAAAAUGGAUGGCGCUCAAGCGUGCUACCCAAAUCUCGCCGCCGGGGCAGGAUCGAGGCCCCGGCGAGUAGGCGGGCGCGGGGGUCAGGGUGACGAAGCCCAGGGAGCGAUCCCGGGU
rnacentral:rRNA from 1 species